rnacentral:rRNA from 1 species
UACGAAGGGGGCUAGCGUUGCUCGGAAUGACUGGGCGUAAAGGGCGCGUAGGCGGAUUGUUUAGUUAGGCGUGAAAUUCCUGGGCUUAACCUGGGGACUGCGCUUAAUACAGGCAGUCUAGAGUGAGGAAGAGGGUUGUGGAAUUCCCAGUGUAGAGGUGAAAUUCGUAGAUAUUGGGAAGAACACCGGUGGCGAAGGCGGCAACCUGGUCCUUGACUGACGCUGAGGCGCGAAAGCGUGGGGAGCAAACAGG